rnacentral:lncRNA from 1 species
GCGAGCCCCGUUGUCUGCCGAGGGUCACCGCGGCCACGGGCGCCGCGCCAGGCCAGGCCUCCCCCGGGAGCGGCGCUGGCUGCCUUCCUCCUGGCUCCUCUUCCACAACCGCCUCCACUGUCCCCUCCCCAAGGGCCCCGGCCGGAGGCGGCGGCGGAGGCUUUUGGGACAGCGCGGGGACACGGAGCGCUGCAGGGCUCACAGCUGCAGUUUCCAGGAUGUCCUUCUCUUUCUGGCUGUAAUCUCGAGGACAAAAAGCCCACAUGACUUUUCCUCAACGGAUCUCAAUCUGCAGGAAUAGAAAUACGGUGUCAGUUGCAAACUAUUUCCUAAUCAUGGGGUUAGUGUUUGAAAGUCGCCAAAGAGCUCAGACAUGCCUGGGAAUACACGCUGCCCCCAAAGGUGCUGGGAGUCACGGUCAGGGGGAAGUAAAGCAGGUCUGUGAUCACGUGAAAAUGAAGAUUCCUUGGAGAAAAAGUUAUCUGUUUUCUGGCUGUGAGUUUACAAGAUGCUGAAGCCUCUCAUAAUUCAGCCUGAGUUUCAGUGAGUUGUCGCUCCCUGAGCACAGUGUGGACAAAUGUCUGGCCAUGGCAGUGGCCAGUGGCUUCUCCUUUGUCGGACCUCAGUUUUCCAGGCUCAAAAAUAAAGUAGCAGAACUCAGCGGAGCUGGGAUCCUUCUUCUGAGUGGAAUGCUUGAUGCUAGAUUGAAUACUAGGACGUUCGCCAUGGUUUAAGCCUCUGGGGUUCAGUUUCUUGAUCUGUGAAGUGGGAAUGGAAAUGUGCUACAAGCACAGCCCUCAGAGAAGAGCCUGAGUCAUCCGUGCAGGGUGCAUGCAACACCACGGGAGGAGUCUCCCUCACUGUGUCCAGGGAGGCCGAGGGGAGCCCCACCCUGCCAGCGAGGGCUCUCUGCUCUGUGAAUUCUGCAUCUCUGGCUGAGCACUGGGUAUUAGGAACCCAAAGAGUGAUUCCAUAAAGAAAAAAAGUGUAGUUUAUACCAAAAUGGAAUAAACCCCCUUUUGAG